GAUGAACGCUAGCGGCAGGCUUAAUACAUGCAAGUCGAGGGGUAGCAAGAUUGUAGCAAUACAAUUGUUGACGACCGGCAAACGGGUGCGGAACACGUACACAACCUUCCUACAAGUGGGGAAUAGCCCAGAGAAAUUUGGAUUAAUACCCCGUAACCUAGCGAUGUGGCAUCACAUUGCUAUUAUAGCCUUGGCUGUUGUUGAUGGGUGUGCGGCUGAUUAGAUAGUUGGAGGGGUAACGGCCCACAAAGUCUACGAUCAGUAGCUGAUGGGAGAGAAUGAUCAGCCACACGGGAACUGGGACACGGGCCCGACUCCUACGGGAGGCAGCAGUAAGGAAUAUUGGACAAUGGACGCAAGUCUGAUCCAGCCAUGCCGCGUGAAGGAUUAAGGUCCUCUGGAUUGUAAACUUCUUUUAUAAGGGACGAAAAAAGGUCUUUCUAGAUCGUCUGACGGUACCUUAUGAAUAAGCACCGGCUAACUCCGUGCCAGCAGCCGCCGUAACAC
rnacentral:rRNA from 1 species